rnacentral:lncRNA from 1 species
GUUCCUCUUUUGAGUUCCUAACUCAUUUGGAAUUUUCAUAAUCAGCUUUGCAAAUUUGAAAAACUCUUUGCAAAUCCUUGAGGGAAUUUGCAAUUUUCCUGUCGGCCGUUGCAAUAUUCCAACGCAAAGAAAGUUCCUUUCAAAUUUUCCUAACUUCCUGUUUUAAUUUCCUGACUUCCUGUUCUGUUCUGAGCGUUAUCAUUGGUGGAUUAUUUUUGUUAGCCAAUUACAACGCGCAGAACAGAACAGGAAGUUAGGAACUUGUAACAGGAAGUUAAGAACUUCUAACAGGAACUGAGGAAAAUUUAUUUGGCUCUUAAGAACAUUGCAAAUUCCCUCAAGGGAUUUGCAAGGGAGUUUUUCAAAUUUGCUAAGGUAAUGAGCAAAAUUGCAA